rnacentral:lncRNA from 1 species
AAAUAACAAAUUAGUCUAUCUAACAUGUUUCCAAACAAAUCAAGCAAAUAUAUGACGGAAAAGAAAAGGAGCAACUAGAAAUAAGAAUUAAAAAAAAACGUAAGAACAGUUGAUCAAUAAAGGAUAAGAAGAACUAACUUUUCAAAUUAUCAAAGACCUUUCUGCUUUGGAUUAACGACGAAAACUCAAUACGAGUACAUUGAAGAAGAGAAUACAUCCAUAUCUUGAAUUCUAACAAAACCAAUCGACCAAAGACCACGGAAACCUCAAACCGACGACCUCGAAUGGAAUAGCGAACAAAACCUUGGAGAUAAACAAUCGAUGGAGGACAGUCAGACCAGAACUCGACUCGACACCGGAAUGAUGACCUCAAACCAUUUUGAGCUUCGACGGAGCUGGACUGGUGUAGUUUUCCGGCGGAGUUUGACGUGAUGAAGCUUGUCGCGGAUGGGGUGGAGAAGCAGCAACGGCAGCGUGUGGAAGCAGGCUGGAAUAGUGGUUUCUCUGCUGCUGGUGGCGUCGUGGUGAGCUGAAGAAGAAAGCAGCAACAUUUGGUUGAGGAAAGGGGUCGUUGGGUUGAAGCUAGCAGGAGGUGGUCGCUGGACUGUUUGGUUCCGGUGAGCUGUUUUGGGCAGCGGGAGGUGGGUUCAGCUGGUUUCAGGCAGGGGGGAGAUAGGGACGACGAACUGGUGGACUCGCUAAGGUUCUUGCUGUUGUUUUGUUUUAGGGGUUUUUAGAGGUUCAUCAAGAAGAGGAAGAUGAAUAGUGAUAUGGGUCUUGUGUGUUGUCUGUCUCCAAAAAUCUGACGAAGAAGUGUGUGUAUUUUAAGAAGUUGAAGAAUGAGAAGGAAGGGGCAAGGUGAAACGUGGGUGAGUUGGGGAAAAGGGAUAAAGUGAGGGGAUAAGGAAAAGUGGGGGACAUGAGUGGGGAAUAAAGAGAAGAAGGGGUUAUGAGUGGAAAUGUGAGUUGUAAAGAGUAGAAGUAGGAAUGUGAGGGAAAUCAUGGGGUAUUGGUGACAUAAGAGGCAAAAAUUCAAAUAUGGUCAAAAAUUAGAUGUUAAUAGCUGCUCCUCUUUGCUCAGCAACACGAAGAGUUUUCGGGCAAGGAUAAAGUGAACCAUGUGACUAAUUUUUGACAAUAUCGUUAUUCAAAAGAGGAAGAAAAAUAAAAGAAAACAAGCGAGUCUUGAUUUUGGACAACCUACAUAUCCCGGGUUAUAAGGGAAACAGGCUCAGAAGUGCAUGAGGUGAUGGAGCGCCGAGGUUGAAAGUCGAGCGAGGUGUUGUCCUGUCGAGGUUCCGGUCUACGGUGCUGUUAUUACAUCAGAAUCAAAAUGAAAAAGACUAACUAAAUCUAUCAGCUACGAAUUACAAGAUUCCUAUCUAUAAAUUUCUUGAAGCUUGAUCUUGAGUCUUAGUUGAUUUUGCUGUAGACUUCGAUUUGAAUCUUGAUGCUCGCAAGUUUUAGGUUCUUGUUUCUUUGUGCGGCAUUGAGUAAAACAAGAUUGGCGAAACUUGUGACUUCAAUCUGAUUUCGAGCAAUCCGCACCUUUAUUUUCUCCAAUAUUUUAGCUCAUUUCUUUUUUGUUCUUUUAUUCUUUUCAUUAUUCUCGAUGGAGACUCAUUUCAUUAAUCAUCUUGCGCCUUGUGUUUUGAGGUCAACCUACUUAAGACAUCAAAGACAAACAAACAAACGAAUUUUUUUGCCCCAGUUUUCACUAGGAAAAUUCGUGAGUUAAUUGUGACACAUAUCUAAGCAGUCAAACUAGGAUUGUGUAUCCUUGUGAAUGGAUCCAGGUUGUGCUGGGAAAUGGCCAGGUUAUGCCGGAAAAGAAAGUGGGGUCCUCGGGUUACGCCAGGAAAGUCAUUGGGUUAUGCCGGAAAAGUUCCACAGGGUAUGCAGGGAAGAAUCAUCGAGUUAUGACAGAAAAUGUCCACGGGUUAUACCGGAAUAAAUCAUCGGGUUAUGCGAAAAAGGUCCACAGGUUAUGCCAGGAUUUGGAAAGAAAAGGGUGCCUUGGGUUAUGCCAUGUAGAUCCACGGGUUAUGCCGGGAAAAAUCAUCGGGUUAUGCCGAAAAGGUCCACGGGUUAUGCCGGAAAAGUCAUCGGGUUAUGCCAGAAAAAGUCCAAUAAAUCAUCGGGUUAUGCGAAAAAGGUCCACAGGUUAUGCCAGGAUUUGGAAAGAAAAGGGUGCCUUGGGUUAUGCCAUGUAGAUCCACGGGUUAUGCCGGGAAAAAUCAUCGGGUUAUGCCGAAAAGGUCCACGGGUUAUGCCGGAAAAGUCAUCGGAUUAUGCCAGAAAAAGUCCACGGGUUAUGCCGGAAAGAGUCAUCAGGUUAUGUCGAAAAGGUCCACAGGUUAUGCCAGAAUAGUCAUCGGGUUAUACCGAAAAGGUCCACGGAUUAUGUCGGGAAAGUCUUCGGGUUAUGCCGGGAAAAUCUUUGGGUUAUGCCGGAAAACGUCCACGGGUUAUGCCGGAAAAGUCUUUGGGUUAUGCCGAAAAGGUCCACGGGUUAUGCCGGGAAGAAUCAUCGGGUUAUGCCGGGAUUUUUGAGGAGUGGGAUCCUAUGCUAUCAUGAUUUUCCUUUGGGAUUUUCAUUUUUAUUUCUUUUGUUUCUUUUACUCAAACUCGUUCUUCUUCUCCCUUUUUUUGUUUUUACUUAUCUAUGAUGGAACAAAUGAGGGGAUUAGAGGCCCUAUGUCUAAAAGACGCAACUCAGGGAUUGAAGCUCUAAUGUUGGCGAAAUGUAAAACGAGGUUAUGCCAGAAUAGUCAUCGGGCUAUGCCGAAAAGGUCCACGGGUUAUGUCGGGAAAGUCUUCGGGUUAUGCCGGGAAAAUCUUUGGGUUAUGCCGGAAAACGUCCACGGGUUAUGCCGGAAAAGUCUUUGGGUUAUGCCGAAAAGGUCCACGGGUUAUGCCGGGAAGAAUCAUCGGGUUAUGCCGGGAUUUUUGAGGAGUGGGAUCCUAUGCUAUCAUGAUUUUCCUUUGGGAUUUUCAUUUUUAUUUCUUUUGUUUCUUUUACUCAAACUCGUUCUUCUUCUCCCUUUUUUUGUUUUUACUUAUCUAUGAUGGAACAAAUGAGGGGAUUAGAGGCCCUAUGUCUAAAAGACGCAACUCAGGGAUUGAAGCUCUAAUGUUGGCGAAAUGUAAAACGCUACACUCAGGGAUUGAAACCCUAAUGUUAGCAAAAGGAAAAACGCUCAACUCAGGGAUUAGAGCCCUAAUGUUGGCUAAAGGGAAAAGUGCUCAACUCAAGGAUUGAAGCCCUAAUGUUGGCUAAAGGGGAAAAAUGCUCAACUACGAGAUUGAAACCCUAAUGUUGGCUAAAGGGAGAAACACUCAACUCAUGGAUUAGAGCUCUAAUGUUGGCUAAAAGUAAAAACGCUCAACUCAGAGAUUAGAGCCCUAAUAUCGGCUAAAGGAAAAUCAUCCAACUCAGGGAUUGGAGCCCUAAUGUCGGCUAAAUAAAACUCGCUCAACUUAGGUAUUGGAGCCCUAAUGUCGGCUAAAGAAAACUCACUCAACUAGGGGAUUGGAGCCCUAAUUCCGGCUAAAGAAAAACCUCACAACUCAGGGAUUGAAGACCUAAUGUUGGCUAAAGGAAAACCGCUCAACUCAUCGAUUGGAGCCCUAAUGUUGGCUAAGGGAAAACCGCUCAACUCAGGGAUUGGAGCCCUAAUGUUUGCUAAGGAGGGAUUGGGGCCCUAAUGUCAGCUACGAUGACUAGGUAAUGGAGGCCCCAUGUGUAAAAUGGCACGAAUUAGGGAUUGGAGCCCUAAUGUUGGCAAAAGGCGUCUAGGGAAUGGAGGCCCUAUGUCUAAAAAGCACAACUCAGAGAUUGGAGCCCUAAUGUUGGCAAAGGCGAUUAGGGAAUGAAGGCCUUAUGUCUAAAAAUCUCAACAUAGGGAUUGGAGCCCUAAUGUUGGCAAAGGCGACUAGGGAAUGGAGGCCCUAUGUCAAAUUUCAAAUUUGGGAUUGGAGCCCUAAUAUUGGUAAAGGUGACUAGGGAAAGGAGGCCCUGUGUCUAAAAAUCUCAACUUAGGGAUUGGAGUCGUAAUAUUGGCAAAGGCGACUAGGGAAUGGAGGCCCAAUAUCGAAAAUUUCAACUUAGGGAUUGGAGCCCUAAUAUUGGUAAAGGCGACUAGGGAAUUGUAAGGCCCCAGAAAAUUUUGCUAAGUAAUUUAGGAUUUCGUAGUAUCACGCAGGCUUAUUAUAAUAUCUUUAUAUACAAUUAACAUGGUGGACGUCAAUUAGACUUGGUAAAUAUGAGUAUAGGUCUUAUGGUAAGUGAAGUGAGGUCCAAAUGGAAGCCUAGGUGUAUGUCAAAUAGGAAAUUUUUUGAAAUAGGCCAAAAUUCCAAAUGGAUUCGCACAAGGCUCCACUUCAAAAGAGGAUAUAUAAUUAUGUAUAAGGUUUUAUGUUGCAUAGCAUAUCACAUGAAAUCUCUUUGAGUCUAGUUUCCAACGCUUCAAACCGUUUGUCAUUUAGACAUUCCUACACAAAGUUAUGAUCAAAUUACCAAAGGCUGGAAAGUGCAAUUCUGUGUUAGGUCAAAUCUGUGAUCCGCAUUUUGACCGCAGAUUGAACCAGUUUAGCUCAUUUUUGUGCACCGAUUUUGCGGUGCAUUCUGCAUCCCGCAUGUCCAUUCUGCGGUGCAUUUUGCUAUAACACAAUUGACAUCGGAGGGUUAUUUUUUAUAUUUUCAUAACCUUUGGGGCUUCAUUUGGGGUAUUCCUACUGAUUUUAGAGAGAGGUGAGAGUAUUUUAGAGAGAGAAGGAGGAACCCAACAUCUAAAUCAUCCAAAUCUUGCAUCAAUCUUCAAGAAUCAAAGUACCCAAUCGCAAGCUCUUCAUCUAAGAGGUAAGAUUCUAUGCCCAAGGUUUUAAUUUCGAGUUUAGAGUAUAAGAUGGGUUAUUGAGGUAUGAUUCUUGGUUAUUUUAGUAUUGUGUAUACAUGCAUGUACAGCUUAGGUUUAUGGAAAGAUUGUUUAACAUAGAUUAGUAAAGAGAUUGGGUUAGGGAACGAAUGAAAUCAUAAAAAGAGGAUUCGAAAUCAAGAUGCUCAACUAGUGUUUGAUAAAAUGCUCAAAUGAGCUAGUUUCAUGAGAAUGAAGGAAAUUUUAAAAAGGGGAUUCGAAAUCAAGAUGCUCAACUAGUGUUUGAUAAAAUGCUCAAAUGAGCUAGUUUGAUGAAUAUCUUUCUAAUAUGUGUUUAAUUUUGUUAUGUCUCAUAGUAGAUUGGAAUUGUUAGAGUUUUUGGAGUGUUGUAGUAACUUAAGAAAAGCUCAAUUGAGGUAUGUAUGACUAACUUUGAUCUUUGUGAAAUUAACUUGUUUGAGGUAUGAAUAUUUGGUAUGUGAUAGCUACGUGGAUUGUUUGUGAAAUUUUUGUGAUUGUUUUGUUGGGUGUUUGAUUGGUUUGAUUAAGUGUUAUGUGGUAAGAGUUGAGAAAUAAAUGAUAGAAGGAAAUCGUAAAUGUCAUCGAUGUGGAAUUGUGAAAGGAGACAGCAGGAGAGUUUGUAAUCUGUGGGGUACUGGUUGCCCCUUUGUUUGGCUAAUUGAACCUUCUAUGGGUGUUUGGUUGUUGUUUCUGUUGUUGUUUCUUACUUGUGUUUGGUUGAGUUUACUUGUAACAAAGUUAGAUUUUGAAUUUUUUUUGGCUUGAUUGUUCCUUUGCUUGUGCAUUUGAUUGUUGUUUCUAUAACUGUUAUUCACUUGUGUAUGGCUUGAGUUUACUUGAGACAAAGUUUGUUCAUACAUACCAGUACAAUUCAAAUGUACUGACGUCCCUUUUGCCAGGGGCGCUACAUUCGUAUUAUGAUUGUAGGUGGAUCCAUAGAAGGUACUCCAGUCCACCGACCGUAGCUCCUCAUCACUUCUCGUCAGCUGAUUCAGCGAGCCCCUUUUAUGUGGCUCACGCCACUUUCUGUUUUGGGGUCUUGUUUUGAUGUGCAUAAGGUAUAGCCGGAGCCUUGUUGCCGGCAUUUCCAUAUUAUUCUUCAAUUGUAUUUAGAGGCUGCGUAGACAGGUUGUGGGUAGUGUCGGGCAUGGUAAUUUAAAAAGAUAAAUAUUGAUGUUUGGCAAUGUUGUAUAAAAAAUUUGAAUACUUUUAUUAUGGUGAAUGAAGUUACUAAUGGAAAUUGUUAUUGUUAUGUUUAUAAAAUUUGGUUAAUGGAGUCCAUAUCCUAUAAAUGGCUAUUUCACUUGGUUAUUUGGUAAUGAGAAUGAGGGGUAACAAGUGGGAUAGGAAAGGCACCCAGUCCCGCUUGACUGGGGAUACCCGGUCGAGCGCCGGUCAUGUCCCUCGAAUUUGGGGCAUGACAAACUUGGUAUCAGAGCCUAAGGUUUUAAAGGAAUCCUCGGAUGUCUUAGAGCCGUGGCAAGUAGAGCCAUUCUUAUCGGUGUGUUGUCGACCACAUCUAUAAGUAGGGGGCUACACGGGCAUUUAUUUAACUAUCCCUUUCUUUGUUAUUCUGUAUCGUGCGAUGAAGUGAAAAGUGAAAGUAUUUACAUCUAACUCGUGCUUGGUUCCGAAAUUUUAAGAAAUUGCUCCUAAGAAUAAAGCUAGACUCAGCCUUGGGACCAAUGUAACCCCAAGUGUGGCCGUACUUGGUAUCAGAGUCUAAGGUUUUAAAGUGUCCUAAUAUGUCUCGGAGCCGUGUCUAGUAGAGUCCUUCUUAUCUGUGUGUUGUCGACCACAUCUAUAAGUUGGAGGCUAUUUGGACAUUUAUGAAUUUCACCCUUCUUUGAUAAUCCAGAUCGUGCGAUAUAGAUCAAGAUAGGGAGUUGAUUUCCUCUUUAAGUUCUAUUCUCAAGAUUGGUAAUUUUAAUACCAUAUUCCGCAAAUUAAUCGUGCGAUAUUGCUCAAGAUAAGGAGUUGAUUUCCUCUCUAAGUCUUAUUUUCAAGAUUGGUAGUUUUGAUGCCAUAAUCCGUGAGUUUGAAGAUUGUAAGGAGGGAUUAAUCCCACCAUUGAGUCCGAGUGGAUUCUCAAGGACUUGUUAGAAGAAUAUGUUAAGCCGUAGAGGGAUUGGUGGAACUUGUUGAUAAGAGGAGUACCCUUGUUCUACUAAUGUCACUGCACCACCAGAUCAUGUAGUAUAUUAUCUGUAUGUAUGGAUAAAAUAUCGUCUUUUAGAACUUAAGCUUCCAUGGUGCCCACGUAAAUGUUGUAAGUUCAAAAUAUAAUUGAUACAAUACUCGUUUUGUUAUGUUAAGCUAAUUAUUGUUGUGAAAAUAUAUGUGGGAAGUACUUCUUCAUGAGUUUAAUAUAUUAUUCUUGGUAAAUGAGGAUAUGUUAAGAAUGUGAGUUAUGUGCUAAGACAAGAGGGGUUGCUCUGAUGGUAAGCAACCCCCACUUCCAACCAAGAGGUUGUGAGUNNNNNNNNNNNNNNNNNNNNNNNNNNNNNNNNNNNNNNNNNNNNNNNNNNNNNNNNNNNNNNNNNNNNNNNNNNNCCCACUUCCAACCAAGAGGUUGUGAGUUCGAGUCUCCCCAAGAGCAAGGUAGGAAGUUCUUGGAGGGAAGGAUGCUGGGGGUCUAUUUGGAAACACCCUGUCUACCCAAUGGUAGGGGUAACGUCUGUGUAUAUACUACUCUCCCCAGACCCCACUAAGUGGGAUUAUACUGGGUUUUUAUUGUUGUUUUUGUGAACUAUGUGCUAAAAUGCCUAGACUUCAAGUCAAGUGUAAAUUGAUAUUUUGAUGCCAAAUUUUGUGAGAAAACUUGUUAUGGUUGAUUCCUCCAAAAUCUUCUUAUGUGUACCAAUGGUAUUUGAUUGAUUGCGUCUAGUUGUUGGUAACGUAUAAAGAUGUUUGGAAGUGAAGUAAGUGGCUAUGUAAAUGUGGUAAGACUAAAUGUUGGAUUCUAGCUGUGAUUGAUACUUUACAUGAAUGAGUGUUGUGACCUGAUGUUUGUGAAAGAUGCAUUCCAAUAUGAUCAAUGUGCUAUUAUUGACAACAUAAAAUGGGCGCAAGGAAUGUGUAUCAUGUAUUGAAAUGCGAAGGCCUUAAAUUGAAAUUGGAGCAGCAUAUAUUAAAUAAAACUGUGUAAAAUCCUAUGUGUAUAGAGAUGUUGAAAUAAGUCAAAUGUUUUUGAGAAAUAUAGUAUAGACAAUGUGUCGAGAACUCAAAAUGAAAUUGUACCUGGUGAUACUUAUGACAUGAGGAAGUAUAGACAAUGUGUCGAGAACUCGAAAUGAAAUUUUACCUGGUGAUACUUGUGACAUGAGGGAAUAUGAAACAAAUUAUGACAUUGAUAUGAAAUAUGCGAAAAUGAUGUGAAAUGCGAGGAAGACGAGUCUGUGUUAUGAAAUGUGGCAUAGUGCCAAGUCUAAUGUGAUAAUUGCGGCCCCAAGAGCUGAUGUACUAAUAUACGUAAAAAUGGCGUGAUUCUUUUAUUUGAUAAUGUGGUGAUCAUUUAAAUUGUUUGAUUCGUACAUAUGAUUGCAAUUUUAUUGCAUGAAGCGCAUAGGUGUAUAAUUUGAUAUGUGAACAGGGCUAUGAAAUGCAGCCUAGAGGUAUGGAAAUUAUGUAAAAACUAUGUGAUCCAUUCUAUUUAGUAAUGUGGUGAUUGUUUAAACUUUUUGUUAGACCUUUAUAACUCCCUUAUCUUUGAAUAGAUUUGUUCUUAAAAAGAAUCUAAAUUACAAAACAUUUCAUGCACCAUCAUAGAGUUUGUACAUGUGGUGUCGAGUUCAAUGCAAAUUAUUCAAGAUUUGUGAUCCUUCUCGAGUCACUCUUGUACUCAAUUGUGUAUAUGGCUUAUAUGGAUUAAACAACCAAUUCACUCUCUUGCAAGUAACAUCAUGAAAACCUUCUUACUAUCAAGUAACAUGAGAGCAUGCGUCAACACAUAUCCUACAAGUACCUAUCAAUUGAAAUGGUCACUGCAUGCAUAAAGUUUUUUUGAAUAUUGAGAUCCUCACAUCCCAUCAUAGGAAGAUCUUGUGUCGCCAUAAUUUUCGUGUCCACUUGAGAUAUCCCGUAGUAAGUAGCUCACUUGGUUUCUAGUAUUGUAGUUGCCUGUUAUGUGGAAUUGUAUUGCACUUUGGAAGUUAGUAUAGCAUAAGCAUGUCCAACUCAUAACGAAUGAUUAUUUUCUCUUUGUCUCCACAAUGUGUUACUUGCAUUCCUUAUUUAGUGAAUUCGGUGUGCUAUUACCCAACACUUGUACGAUAACCAUGAGAGAACAUCCCCUCUAUGUGUCACUAUGACACCUCAUUUUUCCUUCAAGUCAAAACCUAUGGAGAUCCCAUUAUGAACAUCUGCAAACCUUCAGUGGUUAUUGUGCACUGUCUCAUUAAGUUUGGUUUUCUUUACACCCGCAACUUCUGAAAUCCUUGACUAUGUCAUUGUCAUGUGCGGGGAGUUAUACUACCCUUGGCAUCUCGCCUUUUAGGCUUUGUAGGAGUGUUAUAUACCUUAUCUCUUGAGUAUCGUGUUGACUAUUAGAACCAUAUAACCAAUAAUCUCGCCUUGUUGGCUGUGUAGGAGUGUUAUAUUCCUUAUCUCUGGAGCAUCGUGUUAACUAUUAGGACCAUCUAACCAAUUCAUGAUUGUGUCCCAAUAUCAAAAUUUCCUAUUUAUGGAGUUUCACUCGUGAAAGGUUGAGAUUAGAUGACUUCGGAUUUUGUACAUAUCAUGAACAUGUUGAUUUGAAUGACAAAUUGUCAUAUUUUUUUUGUUCCCUCAUAUAUGAUCAAUUACUAAGAAGUGUUAAGAUGUCUAAAAUAUUGUAAUCUCAUAAGCAUUCAAUUCUUUUCAUCCUUAUAGGCUUGUGCAUAUGAUCAAAUACCAAGAAGUGUUAAGCUGUCUAAAAUAUGGUAGUCUCAUAAACGUUCAAUUCUUUUUAUCCUUAUAGGCUUAUGGCAUAGAUUCUGUGCGUCAAGUAAUGUUAAUUGUGUAAUUCAACUUCAUGUAUUUCAAUAUGAGUAGCUCAUGUACUUGAGUAUUCCUCCUUAAUGAUUCAUAUUUCCAAUGUACUACUUACUCUUAUGCCUCAAUUGUGUAAUUAUUGAGGUAAUCACAAUGAUAAACCAUGUAAGUAUUGUUAGUAGUAACCUCUUGUGUCUGUUAGUAUAUGACCUCAUAAUGUACUCUAGUCAGCUCAUUAAUGUAUUCCUGAAUAAUUCCAGCCUGAUCUUGAACUUUGUUGUUCCUUAUUGUAUUAGAUCCAUUGGGUAUUUUAAGUUCAAACAAGUCAAGGAUAAAGCUUCAUAGUGUGAUCAGAUAUACACAUAUUGGAUGGUCAGUCUAUGGUAUCACAUCUUAGAGUAACUAUUAAGGGUCAUCGAGGGUUUAGUGUAUGUCCCCCUGAAAAUGUUAUGUGAGUUGAUAAUAAGGGUAACAUAAGUGUAUUACACAUUAGGUUGCAAUAGGUGUAUGAUAUUCCCUGUAACUGUUCCUCAUAUACUUUGUGUUUGCAAAUGCUUAGAUUGAACUAUAUGGUCAUGGUAAUAUCCUAUAUGAUGCACUACUAGAAAGAAUCAUGAUGGCUUGGCUUCAUAUGNNNNNNNNNNNNNNNNNNNNNNNNNNNNNNNNNNNNNNNNNNNNNNNNNNNNCGAACUAUAUGAUCAUGGUAAUAUCUUAUAUGAUGCAUUACUAGAAAGAAUCAUGAUGGCUUGACUUCAUAUGGACUGUUGAUUGAAAUGAAAUUAUAGUCUUGUUGAUGAACACCUUUGUGAUUACACUAAUGGCUUGUAAGGACUAUUAUGAACACAUAAUUGUUUGUUUACUAUGAAAUGACAUUCUUGAUGGUAUGAUGCUAUGUGAGCGAAUUGUGGGUUCAUAUUGUUACCAUGAAUUGCAAUAUCCGGUGAAUGUAAAUUGUACAGUGGAAGUUAUCAAAAGGUAAAUUCAAUGGAUAGUUAUCUCAUGCAAGAUGUUUAUCUGUCAUCCUUGUUAUGUAUGUUUGGGAGUUGAUGUUAAUUUUGAGAAGGUGUCAUGACAAUACUUGUAAGUCGAUAAUGUCAUAUGGAAGGCUAAAUGUGUCGUGGUAGGAAAAUAUUUUUGCUUGAUUUAAUACUAGUUAGUUUUGGCUUGGAAUGUACCAUAUAGGUGUUUUGGUAUAAAGUUGUGCGGUCCAUAUUCUGGUAUCCUUAUGAUAAUGCAGUGCUCGUAAUAGUGGGAUUAGGAUUGUGGAUAUACGCGUUCUGGUGCUAUGUAUAGUUGUGGAUGGGUUGUUGAGACGAAUUUGGUGAUUCUCUGGCAGGUGGAUAGGCUUAGUUAAAAAGGAGACUCUGCCGAAAUUUCCGAAAUUUUUUUGAGUAAGUGAAAAUUAAGAGAAUUGAGGUAGGCUAGAAAAGAGAUGAGUGAUUUUAAAGUGUUUGGGGAAGACUCUACUCCUCAUUCAAGGACGAAUGAUCCUAGGGGGGGGGGAGAAUGUAAGGCCCCGAAAAAUUUCUAGGUAAUUUAGGAUUCCGUAGUGUCACACAGGCUUAUUAUAAUAUCUGUAUAUACUAUUAACAUGGUGGACAUCAAUUAGACUUGGUAAAUAUGAGUAUAGGUCAUAUGGUAAGUGAUGUGAGGUACAAAUGGAAGCCUAGGUGUAUGCCAAAUGGGAAAAUUUCCGAAAUAGGCCAAAAUUCCAAAUGGAUUCGCACAAGGCUCCACUUCAAAAGAGGAUAUAUAAAUAUGUAUAAGGUUUUAUGUGGGGAAUAGCAUAUAAAAUGGAAGACCUUUGAGUCUAGUUUCCAACGCUUCAAACCGUUUGUCCUUUGGACAUUCCUACACAAAGUUAAGACCAAAUUAACAAAGGCUGAAAAAUACGAUAUUGUGUCAGAUCAAAUCUGCGAUCCGCAUUUUUACUCUGCGGUCCACAUUUUCAUUUUGCGGUCCGCAUUUUGACCGCAGAUUGAACCAGUAUAGCUUAUUUUUGUGAACCGAUUUUGCGGUGCAUUCUGCAGCCCGCAUGUCCAUUCUGCGGUGCAUUCUGCUAUAGAAGAAUUGACAUGGGAGGGUUAUUUUUUUUUACUUUCAUAACACGACCCCAUUUUGAUAUAUAACCUUUGGGGUUUCAUUUGGUGUCAUUUUCUACUGAUUUUAGAGAGAAGUGAGAGUAUUUUAGAGAUAGAAUGAGGAACCCAACAUCUAAAUCAUCCAAAAACUUGCAUCAAUCUUCAAGAAUCAAAGAACCCAUUCGCAAGUUCUUCAUCUAAGAGGUAAGAUUCUAUGCCCUAGAUUUUUAUUUCGAGUUUAGAGUAUAAGAUGGGUUAUUGAGGUAUGAUUACUGGGUAUUUUAGUAUUGUGUAUGCAUGCAUGUACAACUUAGGUUUAUGAAAAGAUUGUUUAACAUAGAUUAGUAAAGAGAUUGGGUUAGGGAAUGAAGGAAAUUUUAAAAAGGGGAUUCGAAAUCAAGAUGCUCAACUAGUGUUUGAUAAAAUGCUCAAAUGAGCUAGUUUGAUGAAUAUCUUUCUAAUAUGUGUUUAAUUUUGUUAUGUCUCAUAGUAUAUUGGAAUUGUUAGAGUUUUUGGAGUGUUGUAGUAACUUAAGGAAAGCUCAAUUGAGGUAUGUAUGGCUAACUUUGAUCUUUGUGAAAUCGCCUUGUUUAGUGUAUGAAUAUUUGAUAUGUGAUAGCUACGUGGAUUGUUUGUGAAAUUUUUGUGAUUGUUUUGUUGGGUGUUUGAUUGGUUUGAUUAAGUGUUAUGUGGUAAGAGUUGAGAAAUAAAUGAUAGAAGGAAAUCGUAAAUGUCAUCGAUGUGGAAUUGUGAAAGGAGACAGCAGGAGAGUUUGUAAUCUGUGGGGUACUGGUUGCCCCUUUGAUAAAAGGAAAUAGUAAAUGAUGCAAUUGGAACAACUGUGGUAGUAACAUAUUUGGCUUCUUGGGGGUAAUUAUUGCAAUAGCUUGAAUUGCUUAUGAUGAAACUAUACGGCGGGGUCGGGUUGCGCGCUUCAACACAGUGUUAUAAGGUGGCGGGUUGUGGUGAUAAGGGUGGCCGAUGUAAUAAGGGUAGGCGAGGCAAUAAGGGUAGAUGAGGUAGUAAGGGUGGAAAAGUGAUCGAAAUCUUAUUGAUAUAUACACUUGAACAAAAAUUGUGAAAUCAUUGAUGUGGAACUGUGAAAGGAGACAGCAGGAGAGUUUGUAACCUGUGGGGCACUGAUUGCCCCUUUGUUUGGCUAAUUGUGAAAUCAUUGAUGUGGAAUUGUGAAAGGAGACAGUAGGAGAGUUUGUAACCUGUGGGGCACCGAUUGCCCCUUUGUUUGGCUAAUUGUACCUUCUAUGGGUGUUUGGUUGUUGCUUCUGUUGUUGUUUCUUACUUGUGUAUGGUUGAGUUUACUUGGAACAAAGUUAGAUGUUGAAAAAUUAUUUGGCUUAAUUAUUCCUUUGCUUGUGCAUUUGAGUGUUGUUUUUAUCACUAUUAUCCACUUGUGUAUGGAUUGAGUUUACUUGGGACAAGUUUGUUCAUACAUACCAGUACAAUUCAAAUGUAUUGACGUCCCCUUUGCCGGGGGCGCGAUAUUCGUGUUAUGAUUUGAUGUGGAUCCAUAGCAGGUACUCCAGUCCAUCGACCCUAGCUCCUCAUCACUUCCCGUCGGCUAAUUCGGCGAGCCCCUUUCUAUUCGAGGCCCUAUGUGGCUCACGCCACUUUCUGUUUUGGGAUCUUGUUUUGAUGUGUAUAAGGUAUGGCUUGAGCCUUGUUGCCGGCAUUUCCAUAUUAUUCUUCAGUUGUAUUUAGAGGCUCCGUAGACAGGUUGUGGGUAGUGUCGGGCAUGGUAAUUUGAAAAGAUAAAUAUUAAUGUUUGGCAAUGUUGUAUAAAAAUUUGAAUACUUUUAUUAUGGUGAAUGAAGUUGCAAAUGGAAAUUGUUAUUGUUAUGUUUAUAAAAUUUGGUUAAUGGAGUCCAUAUUCUAUAAAUGGCUAUUUCACUUGGUUAUUUGGUAAUGAGUAUGAGGAGUAACACGUAGGAUAGGAAAGGCACCCAGGUCCGCUUGACUAGGGAUACCCGGUCGAGCGCCGGUCAUGUCCCUCGAAUUUGGGGCGUGACAGGAAUGGAGGCCCUAUGUCUAAAAAUAUCAACUUAGGGAUUGGAGCCCUAAUAUUGGUAAAGGCGACUAGGGAAUGGAGGCCCUAUGUCAAAAAAUCUCAACUUAGGUAAUGGAGCCCUAAUAUUGGCAAAGGUUGAUAUUGGGGAUUCUAAACUAACUUUUUUUGGAAUUUUCUUCUUAUUUCUUUCGUUUUUUUUCUCGUUUUUUUUUGUUUAGUAAAAAUGCAGGAAAGAAUUUGGAGGAAACUUCCCUUUUGGGUUUAUUCCUUGCUGCAAAGCUAUUUCUUGCACUUGUGCAUUUCUUUUCCUUUUUGGUUGCACCUACUUCUUGCACGGUUGCUUGGAUUGCACAUGUUUCAAUUUUUCAAACAAAGAACAACUGUUAGUUUGAAACAGUGGUUGGUUUUGUGGCCUUGAUUAGUUUUGAUCACUCAAUCCCGACCCAACUUCUUUGAUGAAGAUCUCAACUGCAACUAUCUGCUCCCUGAGGAUCGAUUCAUUUCAGGCCCUGGAGAACCUCUGAUUAUUCCAGACUUUGCCAUGAUGGUUGGUCGGUGGAACUCAUUUUCCAACUUUAUUUCGCCUUCGUAUACCUUUCCUUCUGACUUCCUUUUCUUUUUUUUGGAGCAUUGGGGAACCUUUGGCUCUUCAAACUUUGCUAAACGGCUAGUCACGUGAGACUUAACCUCUUUAAACUUUAUUUCGCCUUUAUAAGCACUUCGUUUUGAUUUUCUCCUUUCAAGAGUUUUCAAUUCCGGAGCACCGGCCCGCAUGGCCAAUCGAGAUCGACUUGAUGCACCUGUUAAGGCCGAGUAUCUUUUACACAUUAGCCCGCACCAAAUGAAAACUAUGUAAAUCAGUCUUGCCAUCCUCUCUUUGUAUCAGUUUUGGGAGAGUGUUAGACUGAAAGGGAUUCAAAGAAAACAAACAAUGGAAUGGAGAAUGAGUUUAGCACAAAAAGUGUCCCUUCCGGGGAAAGGAAAGAAGGACUUAUCUGGAGUGCAUGCGAGCUUUAAUGAACAUGACAUGCCUUUUGGACUGGAUACGUGAUAUGUGUAAACCGUCUGAGUCUAAGAAAUUCAUCACAACUUUGCCUUGAAACCGAGGAAUCUUGCCAAUACUCUGUUGAUGCCGAUGGCUGUGAGGAUCUUAUUUUCGAUCAUUGGCGCCCUUUGUGGGUUUUCACGAGCUGACCCACCUCGUUUCUCUUCUCAUUGUCGUCUUAUAGUGCUCUUUGCGAGUUUUCACUGACAAGACUCUCUCAUUUUCCAUUUCUCUGCUUACCAUCGCCUCACGGUGCCCAUGUGGGUUUUCACCAAUAAGACUCUCUCAUUUUAUUUCUCUCAUUUUGUUGUGUCAGAUCCAAGUAGUUGUAUUCCCUGAUCCUUGAACAUUCUCACUGAUUGAUUAGAAGGACUUGAAAGGAUUCGGGUAAAAAUGAUUUGGAUUGAAUUAUAACUUUGGAACCAAUUAGGCGGGAUCAUCGUCGAACCAUUAUAACACUUGCCCUAGUUUCACUUUCGGGGGACUUUGAAUUUUUAUUGUUGUGACUUAACCCCAGAGAGAGGCUGCCUACGUAUCCUUUUGGAAUCAAGUCGAACGUAGUUCAGGAAACUUUGUUUUUCAGCUUUGUUUUAUUUUUUCUUUCUUUUUCUUUUUCUUUUUUCUUUUUUGUCUUUUUUCAUUUUUUUGUUUUUGUUUUUCAUUUCAAUUUCUUUAUCUUUUUUUUUUUCAUUUCAUUUUUCAAUAAUACUUUCAGGUUCUAAAGAGGGUAGUCAAAAAAAGAGUAACCGACUCAAAUGGGUUUGUAAAGGGUUAAGUGUUUGAGUAGCAAGAAUAAAAGCCUUCGUCAUCCCAAUCGGAGAAUAUUAGAACUAUAUGGAGGAUCCAACAUAUUACUUUUUGACUACAUUUGCGUUGAUAGUUAUUUCACGGAAAUUUCCUUCGAUGUGUCCCAAGUAAAACACACUCUUUUGGCAGUACUAUUGUUGCAAUAUAUGGACCUUUCCAAUCCGGGAACCAAUUUUUCUUCAGUUGUUCCAAAUCUUUAUUUUAUUUCCUCAUGCUAAUCUUCAUUACGACCCUAUUCUUGAUUUAUUAUUUUGAGGUCUGACAGCAUUUUAGAAUUCGGGCAUGAAGUCCGCAAACAUAUCAUGUUAUUGAAAUCUGCAUUUAACAGAACUAAAAGAGAGUGAGAAAAUUGACAAGAUUAAGAAAAGUGACAUUCCUGGACCAUGAAAUGUUAAUUUCAUUUGAAUUUUUUUUAAUUUUUGAUUUUUUAAAAUUUUUGAAGAAAGAAGGGUUCACAUUGGAAAAUAAGACAAUAAAGUAAAGCAUCCGGAUCACACCAUGAGAUAAUCCGGACGUAGAGAGGAUAGCAAGACUGGCUAUCGAGACUCUCGUCUGAUGGGGAACCUUCAUGCUUGAUGACCAUUUUUCGGAUUUUCUAUUGUCUUGGCAAUGGUUGCAAUGGCCUUGAGUAUCAGAUUAAAUUCCUCAUCUUCACAAAUCAUUUCGAUUAUUGGCCUGUUGUUGUGGGCAGGCAACAGAUUUUUCAUCACAUCAGGAGCUUAUUUAUCCUGAAAGACAAUUCUUUCAGCUUCGAUCAAAUCUUCAACUGCCCUUUUGAGGGUCAAACAUUCCUUUGUACUGUGUCCCACUGCUCCAAAGUGGUAUUCACAUCUAGUAUUAGCUCGCUGCGAGGGGGACUAGGGAUUCGACUGGUUCAGGGCAACUGCUGCAAUAGAUCUAGCCUGAUUAGCUUUUGGAAUAAGCUUGAAUACGAUUCACCAAUAGGGGUGAACUGAUUCUUUCUGAAAGGCUUUCUUGGGCGAGGAUUGUAUUGGAGAUCAUUUGGUUGAGGAUUAUAUGGAGCUUGGUAAGGAUGGGAAUUUCUGGAGGUGGAGCUCGACUUUGUGUAUAAUUUUGUGGCCGCGUGCAAAGUUGUGCAUUCAUCACUGCAUUCCAACAAAACCAACCACCUGAACAAAACAUGGCUAAUUUUCUUACGCAAACAACCUUGUUAGUUUUGAGACAUUGAACAUAUAUGAAAUCACAUUAGGAUGCAAUGCACCUAACAGCUAAACGCUUCUACCCUGUGGUUGAACGGUUGCAUGUGUCAUCCCGACCUUAACUAGCUCUUCCAGUACGGACCUCUUUUCUUCAUAUUUGUUUCUCUCCAAUCACUCUUGAUUUUUGUUUUGUUUUUGUCGCUCUUUUUUUUGGAACUCUUUUUUUUCUUGUUCUUUUUUAUUAUUAUUUUUUUGUCACUCUCUUUUCAUUUUCACUCGUUUUUUUUUCACUUAACUUUCUUUCUUUUUUUUUCAAUUUUUUUAACUCAACUAAUUUUAUGGCAAUGAUCAAAUCCGAUGGAGAUUGCCUACGUAUCAUAACCCCGCAUGAAUCAGAUCUUGCGUAGUUCAGUGUAUUGAGAAUGGAGUAAGUAAGCUAACUCUUUUUUUUGGAAUUUAAUUAUUAAAAAUGCUUUAAAAGAAUAAAGGAGAUUUUUUUUGAUUUUUUUCUUUCUUUUUUGGAAUUUUCUAAAAAAAUGCUUUAGUUGGAACUAUCAGAAAAUAAUUUUUUUGAAUCUUUGAAAAUUGGUGUCGGAACCGAUGAGAUUUACCUACGUAUCUCACAUCUAGUGAAAAUCAGACCCGCGUAGUUCGGUCAAGAAAAAAACUAACUCUUUUAAAAAACAAGACUCUUUUAUUGACAAACACCAUUUUCUGGAAAUACUCUUUUUGUAUUUUCUUUUUUUAACAAACUAUUUAAAAAUGAAACUUUUUUAUUUUUUAUUUUCUUCAUUUUCUUGACCAAUAAACAAACCAUUUUUUUUUAAUAAAUUCUCUUUUUUUCAUUUUUUAUAAAGAUUCGGCAGAGUUUCAACACUAUUUUGACAUUGGUUAUUUUUGUAAAACAGAUAAUCAACUCUACGCACUCUAUUUCUCUCCCCCCCCCCCCUUUAUUUUACUUCCAAAGCCGGUCAGCAAGCAAGUCCGAAAUAAAUAAAUGCACGGAAAAUAAGUAGGAUGAAUCAGGAUGGUCUUUUCAUUUCAGGUUGCUAGUCCUAGACGGACAUCGUAUCGGGGAUACAGAAGCUCAACCCGGCUUUGCAAAAUAUCCGAACUUCGUUCUAAAAAUGGGACCGAAUCUAAACAGAAAGGAAGCCACACGAAGUGCACCCUUCUUCAUGAUUUAGAAGACUUAGAGAGAAAAUAGGGUUCGCUACAGUUUAUAUGUACAAUUCACCAAAUAUCAAAGCGGUAAAGUAUUUAGCGCAUCUAGCAUGAAACAUGUAGAAAAAUCAAAUAAAGCCAAAUAUAACAGUUAUUCUGAGCUCGAAUUCUUAAACCCUGAACCAAAGUUCUGGGUUUCUGAUCCCCAGCAAAGUCGCCAGAGCUGUCACACCUCCUUUUUGCGCACCUACCCCGAGGAAUAAAUGCAUAAGAGAGUCUUUUCAAUUUAAGUGGCAAUAUUCAAAAUGAGAUUAUUUUAUUUAUUUAGAGUCGCCACUUGGGAAAUGAUUGGCUUUUAGUGUCCCAAGUCACCGGUUUAUCUUGAAUACGGAUUCGAGGAAAAUAUUCAACUUUCCAAAUGAAGUCUGCGAACCAGAAAUUCUAAGUAAGGAAUUAUGUUGACCCGAGAGAAGGUGUUAGGCACCCCGGAUCCCGUGAUUCUAGCACGGUCGCUUAAAUUGUUGUAAAUGGCUAAAUAUAUGAUUUUAAUACAUGUUAUAACUUAUGUGCUUUUAUUUAACUUUAAACCGCUUUUAUCAUUAUAUUAAUAGAAUUGCAACAUCGUAAAAAUGCAUCUCGAACCACGUCGCAAUCAAUGCACCCGUGGUUGUUAAUACAUUCUGACUCCAUUGAGAUUUGGAUUUGGGUCACAUAAAUGCGCACCCGAAUUUAAGAAGGUAAAUUAUUAAAAGCGUGUCUAACGUGACUAGCGCGUUAUUAUCUUUGGGGAGGGCCAUGAAAUUCACUAAACGGCCCAUCCCGAAUUCUAAGUUUAUUUCAUUUGUUGAAGGCCCCACAAUUUGUGUAUUUUUUGUUUAGUGAGCCUCAUCUCACUCCCUUUUUAAAGGGAUAUUCAACUGAAACAAACUAAGGAUGUUCAGAAUUAUUUUCCUAAGCCAGUGAUUAUUGGAAGGCCAUGGAUUAUGAAAUUAACAUAUUUGGCUUUUCUUACAUGCUAUUUCGGACCAGAUAACAGAUGGCCUAAUUAAUUUGAAACAUUCCCCAUAGCCCAUGAAUCAUUCUUCCUCUUUAUUCUUUACUACCAAAUUAUUCUUCAAGAAUUAAUAUGAAUCUAGGCAUAUGGAAAGUUUUCAAACAUUAGAAUUAUAUAGAAUAAAGGCAACACAUAAAAUAACAAAUUAGUCUAACUAACAUGCUUCUAAACAAACCAAGCAAAUAUAUAUGACGGAAAAGAAAAAGAGCAACUAGAAAUAAGAAGAAGAAAAAAAAUGUAAAACAGUUGAUCAAUAAAUGAGAAGAAGAACUAACUUUUCAAAUUAUCAAAGACCUUUCUGCUUGGGAUUAAUGACGAAAACUCAAGAUGAGUACAUUGAAGAAGAGAAUACAUCCCUAUCUUGAAUGCUACCAAAACCAAUCGACCAAAGAUCACGGAAACCUCAAACCGGCGACCUCGAACGGAAUAGCGAACAAACCCUCGGAGAUAAACAAUCGACGGAGGACAGUCAGACCAGAACUCAACUCGACACCGGAAUGAUGACCUCAAACCAUUUUGAGCUUCGAUGGAGCUAGACUGGUGUGGUUUUCCGGCAGAGAUUGACAGAUGAAGCUGGUCCUGGAUGGGGUGGAGAAGCAGCAGCGGCAGCGUCUGGAAGCAGGUUGGAAUGGUGGUUUCACUGCUUCUAGUGGCGUCGUGAUAAGCUGAAGAAGAAAGCAGCAGCGUUGGUUGAGGAAUGGGGUCGUUGGGUUGAAGCUGGCAGUAGGUGGUCGCUGAACUGUUUGGUUCCGGUGAGCUAUUUUGGGCAGUAGGAGGUGGGUUCAGCUGGUUUCAGGCGAGGGGGAGAUGGGGACAACGAACUGGUGGACUCGCUAAGCUUCUUGUUGUUGUUGUUUUGGUAUAGGGUUUUUUAGAGGUUCAUCAAGAAGAGAAAGAUGAUGAAUAGUGAUAUGGGUCUUAUGUGUUGUCUGUCUCCAAAAAUCUGACCAAGAAGUGUGUGUAUUUUAAGAAGUUGAAGAACGAGAGGGAAUGGGUAAGGUGAAAGAUGUGC